UUCUCUGGUUCUGAGUAACCUAACUUUUAGACUAACUAACCAAUUUUGUUGUUAAUUACAGCAAAAACAUUUGCUAAUUACUCAGUGUAUUCAUUUACGAAGCUGAUAGAUUAACCAGAUACCAUGUCAGAGCAGCAAGUUGGUUCAGCUCCCGCGUCCGCAGCGGCCUCAGCCACCAGUGUUGCUGACGAGCAGCGCUCUGGUAGUGUAGGAGGUGAGAAAGUAAGCGGCGGCGGCAGCGCUAUUGGGUCCGGUGGCUCUGAAGAGAAGUUAUACGGAGGAUGUGAAGGUCCCAACGCUAUGUACGUCAAGCUGAUAUCCUCAGAUGGACACGAGUUUAUUGUGAAGAGGGAACACGCUCUAACGUCAGGCACUAUCAAAGCUAUGUUGAGUGGGCCGGGACAGUUUGCUGAGAAUGAAGCUAAUGAAGUCAAUUUUAGAGAGAUCCCCUCUCAUGUACUGCAGAAGGUCUGCAUGUACUUCACAUACAAGGUUCGAUACACAAACUCAUCGACCGAAAUCCCCGAGUUCCCGAUUGCUCCGGAAAUCGCCUUGGAACUGCUCAUGGCCGCCAACUUCCUCGACUGUUAGGAGUACACGCGUGUACCAAGAGAUGGCGCUAGUGUGACCGACGAGAAAUGAGGUUGCUGGCGCACAGUGGACGUUUACCGGCCGAGACAUGGUGUACCCUGAAUCAUCCUUUAGACUCCAAUAAUAUGUGCCUAUGUAUAAUAAUAUGAGUUUGCAAAGCAAGAGUCGCUUGGAUAAUGAAAUCGUCAGGUAUCGGAGACUUACACCUACUACAGGAUAUUUUAGGGGAAAGUUAGCAAGAACUGUAAUUAAAAUUUACUAUUAUUAGCUAAGUCUGAUUUUUUUUUACUUUAAAAACCAAAAUUGUAAAAAACAACUGUAAAUAAAGUCUACGACUUAUUAAAAUAAAAUAUUUUUGUUUCUCUUGUGUAUUUUCUGUUUUUGAUUCUUUAGAUUGUUUUUUUUACUAACAUGGGUUUGUAAAAUUGGCUAUUUAUCCUAGAAUAAAAAGUAUUUUGUGUUUGUAACAUGACAAGCUAUUUUUAUUUAACAUUUGUGAAAUAUUUCUCUUAUUUGUAAUAGGUCUCGACUUAGUUAAAGUAAUGCCAACGAGACUCGAUAAGUAAUUGGCAAGUUGUCGUUGGUUCUAACUGAUUUUUGUCAUAACAAAAAGAUUCGUAGGUAAACUCACAAUGAAUUUGAGUAUUUAAUGUUGGCAACUGCAGUACCAAUGAUUUCCCUACUCAGGCUGCCUAUAACUUACCCGACUGCGCAAUAAAGAAGGUUAUGUUUUAUCCCGCCUCGUUGGCCUUAUUUUAAACCUAAUGUGCGAUAUGUAAUCAUAAUGUAUCUGAAAUAUUAUUAUUAAUAUCUUUGUCCGUUAAGCAAGCGUUGUAAAUCUCAUUAACACCUUAGUUUGAUCUCGCAUUCACUGUAAUUAAUAUUCUUAUAUGAGAUUCAAUGGUGACCAUAGGCUUCAUAAUGAGUGUUCACAUCAUCAAAUACUUAAAAGGUAUUUUGAAACAAGACAGGAUCUUGAUUUCAAAGAUUUUUACCAAUAUGCAAGUGACUAAAACAUAUUGGCAUUUAAGAAGUUGCUUCUUGUCUUAAAAUGGUUUGAAAGUAGUCAUGGAAGCCAUUUGUUGAACAUUACAUAUAUCCACUCACUAUAUUUUAGGUAAAAUUAGCAAAUUUUAUGUUAAUUAGUGUCCAAAUGUUCCUUUAUAGCUUGUACUCAAUGUAAAAACGGAUGCGCUAGGAUUUCAUUAUUUAUUACUGCAGACCAGAGCACAGGCAGUCAAGGAGAGCCUUUAAUUAAGUAAAUCAGCUGAAAAAACAAGUAAUCUUAAAUAAUUAGAUUCGGUAUCGGCCAUUAAUCUCGAUAACGACAGCUGUACUAAUUAUUACGAGAGCCAUCAAGGUACAGGAAUAGAAAGCAAGUAUGUACUAAUUUUUGUCAAAUUUUAAAUCGCACUGCUUUCUACUAUUUGAACUGCUCCUAGAGCCCCAUAGCAACAAGAUAGCAAGUAGCAGUCCCUUAUGUUAUAUUAGGGGUUAGUGGGCAUUGGUAUUUAUGUAUUAUUUAAAUAAAGGCACUUUUUCGGCUAGCCUGAUGGCCAGGUACUCAGUCUAAUUGUUGUUUUUUGGUCUACGAACGUCAAGUGUUACUUAACAUUAACCGAAUCGCAAUGUUUUGCUUUUUAUUUUGUUAAUAAACCGUACAUUGUA